rnacentral:snRNA from 1 species
GGAUUUUCUUUUCUAUUUGUAUUGAAAAUUGGAAUACAGAGAUUAGCAUAACCCUUGUGCAAGGAUGACACACAAAUUCGUGAAGCACUCCUAUUAUAU